rnacentral:rRNA from 1 species
GACGUAGGGCGCGAGCGUUGUCCGGAUUUAUUGGGCGUAAAGAGCUCGUAGGCGGCUUGUCGCGUCGACUGUGAAAACCCGCGGCUCAACUGCGGGCCUGCAGCCGAUACGGGCAGGCUAGAGUUCGGUAGGGGAGACUGGAAUUCCUGGUGUAGCGGUGAAAUGCGUAGAUAUUGGGAGGAACACCAGUGGCGAAGGCGGCUCACUGGACCGGUACUGACGCUGAUGCGCGAAAGCGUGGGGAGCAAACGGG